rnacentral:rRNA from 1 species
GAUCUGGCUCAGGAUGAACGCUAGCUACAGGCUUAACACAUGCAAGUCGAGGGGCAGCAUGAACUUAGCUUGCUAAGUUUGAUGGCGACCGGCGCACGGGUGAGUAACACGUAUCCAACCUGCCGAUGACUCGGGGAUAGCCUUUCGAAAGAAAGAUUAAUACCCGAUGGCAUAGUUCUUCCGCAUGGUAGAACUAUUAAAGAAUUUCGGUUCAUCGAUGGGGAGUGCGUUCCAUUAGGUUUGG